ensembl:lncRNA
CUUCUAUGAUGGAGUGAUGGCUUUCGUGUAUGGGGGAAGGGCGGUGGAUGUCAUCUACCUGGACUUGUGCAAGACCUUUGACAUGGUUCCUGAUCACAUCCUUCUCUCCAAAUUGGAGAGAUACGGAUUUGAAGGAUGGACUGUUCAAUGGAUUAAGAACUGGUUGGUGGAUCGCAGCUGAAGGGUUGUGAUCAAUUGUUCUGUGUCAGGGUGGAGGCUGGACACAAGCUGUGUCCCGCAAAGGUUGGUCUUGGGACUGGUGCUCUUCAGCAUCUUCAUCGAUGGCCCCUCACUGUAAGAAAGAUAUCGAGGCCCUCGAGCAUGUCCAGAGGAGGGCAACAAAGCUGGUGAGGGGUCUGGAGCACAGGCCUUAUGAGGAGCGGCUGAAGGAGCUGGGAUUGUUUAGUCUAGAGAAGAGGAGGCUCAGGGGAGACCUUAUUGCUCUCUAUAACUACCUGAAGAGAGGUUGUAGUGAUCUGGGGGUCAGCCUCUUCUCUCGUGUGACCAGUGAUAGGACUAGAGGGAAUGGCUUCAAGAUGCACCAGGGAAGGUUCAGGCUGGAUAUUAGGAAAUACUACUUCUCUGAAAGGGUGGUCAGACACUGGAAUGGGCUGCCCAGAGAGGUGGUGGAGUCACCGACCCUGGAGGUGUUCAAGGAACGUUUAGAUGUUGUGUUGAGGGACAUGGUUUAGUGAGAACCAUUGGUGAUGGGCGAAUGGUUGGACUGGAUGAUCCUGUGGGUCUUUUCCAACCUUAGCGAUUCUAUGAUUCUAUGAUGCUAUGAUUCCGAGGGGUUCUCUUGGCAUUCUGCAUACAUUGUUCAAAGCAGAACAGAGAGGGUCAGAGUCCACUAGCACUUACAGAUGGAGUUUCCACUGUGCUAUCUCCCAGUCCCAAGUGCACAUAGCAUCUAAGACACAGAAAGAAGGCUGUAGUGGUGGGGUAGAAGAGGAGGGACCUCGUGGGGAAAGCAAACACUUCUGUGAAACAUCUGUAAUCAAGAAAUGAACCCUCACCUUUGUGAGAAAAGCUCAGCUCCAGUAAUUUCCAAUCAGGCAAAGAUCUCAGUGAAGCAGCAAAGUUUUUGUUACUGCAAUAGUCUUUUAUGGUAAGAGAGACAUCAUACAUGCGAGUGAAACACUUCUCAUUAUAUACCCCUUUCUCCCAUCACAGGUUUUUAUUUUCCUGUUUCCUAUUGGCUAAGUACUCCAGGCUUACAAUCUACAUGAUGCACUUGCUAUCCAUUUUUCCAUAUGAAGUCAACCACCAACCUAUUGUUUUUAGGAUUGUUUUGUACAUUUCUAUGGAUACAGGAGGGCAGUAUUUCUUGAAGCUGUUAUACCUGUUUUAUCCUAUGCCAGGCUUUCCUUACCCUGCUCUGUAUUCUUU